CCAAAGCAACAAACAUGAAUGUUCUUGUGACGGAGCAAGUGUAUUCUGUUUUCUUGUUUUUGAUUUCAUUCCAAGCUUAUGAAGGGGAUUGUGUUUUUGAUUUCAUUCCAAGAGAUCAAACAAAACAUACGCUUGUGUUUUCUGGAGAACACAUUAAGUUAGAAGACAACAUUAGCAUCUAAACAAUACAAACACGACUAUACAAGUUAAUAAACCAAAUACUACAAUAGGAAAAUGAAAAUUCAAUUUCAAAACCAAGCAAAAUAAGAACCUAUUGUACCCUAACAUUAGUAUGGAUAAUACUUGGACCAAUGGAGGGGAUGGAAGCGUAAAGAGAAUAUUCAGAAAGAUGAGAGAUGUAAGGAUGAAGGUGUGUUUUAUUUAUGAGGAAAGCUCCUCUAUUUAUAUACAAAAUUUACAAACUUUUGGCCAAAAGUGGCCGACACAUACUUUACACAUGGCCUCUCUUUAUUCGGCCGACACAAGAAAACAAAAUACUUACUAUUACUACUUUAUAUAAUUGGCCGACAAACUUUUUACAUGAUUGGCUGACAAACUAUUUACUUUACGACUUUUAUACAAUUUGGCUUUUUAUAGCCGACGCAACACGACAAAAAUAAAAUUAUUUCUUUCUACAUAUGGCUGAUAUUCAGCCGACACAGAAUUUUAAUAAAAUACAAUUUUUUUUUUACUUAUUCGAUUUGUACGUCUGGUAUGACAUUAUCUUCUCCUUGACAUUUUGAACAUAUAUGGUCGGGGUAUUUUUGUCCAAUAAUUUUGCAAUAUCUGGUCAAUAAUUCUUCCGAAAUAAACCCUUUCCUUAAUGCUCUUGUUGUUGGUUUUUGCUCUGGCUUGAGUAGACUAAGUAUCCAUUGGCGUAUCUCUUCCAUAUCUUGUUCUCUGGUUUCUUUAGAAUUUGAAUAUAUCAUAACUUGCUCUCGUACAUAAUAGCUCCAUACUGAGUUUCCGUUUAAAUAAUUGUUAGUUAGUUCAUUUAGGAUAGUUGCUAUUCCUAUAACUCUUUUGUUGGCGUAGAAUUCUGGUAUCUCAAUCUUUUGUAUUUCUUGUUGUAUUCCGAUAUCUUCUGGAAUUAUCAUAUCUCUGGUCAAACCAAUUUUUAUAACUUGUAUAAUUGGUUUUAUCUCAUCAAAUAAUAUCUCUGCUGGUGCUGAAUAAAACUUUAUAUAAAACAAUGUUCCUUUAGUAAUUCUUUUAUAGUUCAUAAAGGCUUUGUAUAGCUCUGGUAUGGUAGAUAUUUCAUCUCCUGUUUGGGUAUAAACUGUAUUAAGUAAUCCAUAACUAUAACAUGUUUUUACUAGAUUUGCAUUGGUGCCCGGUUGUGCUAUUAACUUAUUAUAUCCUUGUAGCUUUUGGGUUAUAAAAUCAGUGUUAGGGUUUUUGGUAGUUGGAGAUCUAGGUGUUGAGUUUAAAUAAUUUUGGAUUUUAUAAAGGUUUUCAAUAUAUGAGCGGGUUAUGUGGUUGUAGGCUUUUUUAUCUUGGUUUAAACUUUCUGAGUAAGUAUGUAUUUGCGGUGGUAUAAAUAAUGAGUCUUUUUGGUUCUUUGGAAUAAAUGGUUUAUCGAAGAUUUUGUUCAUAUUUAAAUUUGUAUAUCUUAUUCCACUAGCUCCUUUUGUUGUAGAUGUGCUUGCUGUAGCUGCAUUUAAACAAACAUUGUCAUGGGUUUUAUCGAGUUUCCCAACGUCUCCUUCUAGUUCUGGCUUUUUACCGUCUGCCGAACGACGUAGCUCCACAUUUUUAGAGUCAUGCUGCUGACUUGUAGAUUCUUCCUUUUCUUCUAGCUUUUGAAUUCUCAAUCCCAUACUGUCCACUUUUGUACAAAGUGUAGUUAGGGUUUUGAGUAUGUUUUCCAUAACAUUAUCUUGUCCUGGCUGUGUAACUCUGUCUUGAUAAAUAGUCUGCAAUCAUAUUUUUGUCAGUUUUUAUUACCUCAAUUGUAAAUGUAAAAUUUAGUAUGUUUAAUACUAGUCUCCUUAUUUCUUUUGUUGUAACUGAAUCAUCUAAUUUUUUCGUUAUCCACCAUUUUACUUGUGUGUUAUCUGUUCUUACAAUAAAUUUAUUGUAAACAAUAUAUGGUUCAAAUGCUAAUAAACAUUUAUAUAAUGCGAAUAAUUCUUUUCUAUUUAUUUCCCAUUUUAUUUGUGCUUCUGUAUAAGAUCCUGAAUAAUAUCUACAAUGGUGUUCUAUUUUUUCUUUUUCAUAUUUGUAUUUUAAAACUCCUCCAUAACUAUGAUCACUUGAAUCUGUUUCGACAAUAUAAGUAAAUGUUUUAUUUUCAUCAGGAAAAUAUAGUUUUGGUAGUUUUUUACAUAAAUUCUUAAUAUUUCUUAUAUGUUUUUUAUCUUUAUCAUCAAAAUGAUAUUCUACAUCUUUUUUAAGUUUUUUAUGUAAUGGUUUUAGAUGUUCUGCUAAUUUUGGUAUAUAUUCUCUUACCUGAUUUACUAAUCCUAGAAAGGAUUAUAAUUUCUUUUUUGUAUCUAUAUUUUCAUCAAUAGUAAUUAUUUUUUGUACUAUAUGUGUUUGCAUUUUUAUUCCAUUUUUAUCUAUUUGUAUUCCUAGAAAUUCUAUUUGUGAUUUCAUAAUUUCUGCUUUUCUUUUACUCAAACUUAUACCUGCAUUUUUUACUAUAUGUAUAAAUUUUUCCAAUAAUCUUAUAUGUUCAUCUUGUGUUCUAGAAUAUAAUAAUAUGUCAUCUAUAUAUACAAUACAGUUUUCUAGCUGGUUAAAACAGUUAUCCAUAAAAUGUUGGAAUCUACCUGGUGCAUUUUUAUAUCCAAAAGGUAAAACAUUCCAUUCAUAGAAACCUUGCGGUACUGUGAAUGCUGUUAAUUGUUUAGAUUCUUCUUCUAGUUUUAGGUGGUAAAAUCCUGAUUUGCAGUCAAAUUUACUGAAAUAAUUAUAUCCUUGUAUUUGUCUUAUUUUUAGUAUUUUGUUUGGUAUUGGAUAAUUGUAUGUUUUGGUUUUAGCAUUUAGAUUACGAUAAUCUAUGACCAUUCUACUUUUACCUCUUUUUUGUUCACUAUGUUUUAUUACUAUAAAUGCUGGACUUGUAUGUUUACUAUUGCUUUUUUGUAUGUAAUUAUUUUCUAACAAUUCAUUUAUAUGUAUUUUAAAUUCUUCUAGAUCAGCAAAGUUAUAUUUUAAUGGUUUUUGUGUUAUUAUACUAUUUUCAUCUAUUAAUUCAAUUUUUACUUUUGUCUUAUGUUUUUCCCAUCCUUGUAAUGGAUCUUCACUAUAUAAUUGUUCUAUUUGUUCAUUAAUUAAUUUGACUUUGUCUAUAACAAAUAUAAUAAUUUCUAAUUGCGUUAUUUGUUUAUUAUUUAUAUUUUCCAUUUCUUGGUUUAUCUUUUCACUUCCUUUUAUCCAUUCCAUAGUUUUUCGUUGUUUAUUAUUUACUCUUUUUGCUCCUAUCUUAUUUCCGCAUGGUGUAGUAAGCCACCAAUGUGUUUUUGUUAUUAUGUGUGGAUAAUAUUUAUCUAAAAAUGGCAUUCCUAAUAACAUAUCUUUUGUAGUAAAUUCAAAAUUAUACAUUUCUUCUAUUGUUAGUAUUUUAUCCCAUAUUUGUAUUUUUAUAUUUUUUGCUUUGUAUUUAAUCAUACUUCCUUCAUUGUUAAAUCCCGUUACUACCAUAGGUGUUUUUAAUUUUUCCCAUUUAUCUUCUGGUAGGCAAUUAUAUUUACAUAUAUUCGCUUCUGCUCCUGUAUCUAUCAUAGGUGUAUAAUAUCUGUUGUAAUAUCCUUCUACUAUAAUUUUUGCAAGUAUAAAUAUUUUCAUUAAUCAUUUUGUCCUUUUUAUAAUUAUUUUCUUAUUUUGACAAGUUAUUGUUAAUUGUUCAUUUUCUAUGUUGUAUGGUUUAACUUUUUCUAACCAUUUUAUUCCUAAUGUAAUAUUAUGAUCUCCUUGGCAUAUUUUGAAUUGUAUUAUUAAGAGUAUUCCUCCUAUAAUUAUUUCUUUUUCUGUUGUUUCUUCAUUCGUGUUUACUAUCUCACUAGGUAGUCCAGGGCAUGUAUGUCCUGUUCUUAUAAUUUCUUCUUCUAAUACUAACUCUCUUGUUAUAUAAUUUUCUUCUUGUCCUGUAUUUAUUAAUAUUUUAUAUUUUCUUUGGUCUAUUAUUCCUGUUAUGAAAUAAUGAUAUGGUGUUAUUUCUUCUUUAUCUAAUAGGCUUUGUGGAAUUUCAUAUUUUCUUUUAGAUGUACUCAUCCUUGAUGAGGUGACUCUUGUCAAUGUAUUUGGUACGCUUGAAGUGCUUAAUCUUUCUUUUACUAUCUCUAAAUCUUCUUCUAUAUCAAUUUCUUUAUAGCUAUAGUCAUUAUUGUCUAUUACAGUAAUUAUUUUUUCAAAAGGAUUUUCUAUUUUUAUUUUGUUAAUUUUAUUUUUUGCUGUUAUUUUAUGCUUUGUUGUUAGUAUAUAUAAAUUUUUACAUCUUGCUGUAAAUAAUUUGCUUCCUGGUGCUAGUUCUAUUCCAGACAUUUUCCAAUAUAGAACUAAUGAUCUAUCUAUGUUUUUAUCUGUUAAUGAUACUGUAUAAUUAGCACUUAUUGUAAAUUUAAAUUUUUGAUAUAUCAAGUUUCCUUUUACUGCACUAAUUACGCUUUUUUCUAUAGGGUGUACAAUUCUAUCAUCUGCUAAAUAUAUUUCUAUAGGUGUAUCUAUUCCUUCUCUAAAGCAGGCUUUUAUUAAUAUUUCUGUUCCUCCUAAAUGUACAUAUUUUAUUGGUGAUUUAGCUUUUAUAUCUUGUAUUUCUUUGUUUAUCAUUCUUUUAUUUAUUAUAGGUAUAUAUGUUUUUCCUCUUGUGUAUUUGCAAUCUAUGAUAUGUUCUUUUUGGCUAACUACAUAGUAUUCUUCUUUUUGUCUUUUAAACAAAUUUCUUAAAAUAGGUAUUUCUAAUACUUUUUCAACACUUAAAUCUAAUUCUUUUCCUUUUAUUUGUUCAAAUAUCGUAUUAUCAAAUAUAAUUUUCUGUUCUGAUGAUUCUUCAUUUUGAUAUUCUUCCUUAGAUAUUAUUUUUAUUUCAUUUUCAGACAUUAUAUUUCUUCAUCUGUUUCAUUAUUAUCUAUGUUAAUAUUUUCUUCUUCAUUCUCAGUUUCUAUAUCUGAUACUUCAUAUAUACUAUCAUUUUCACUUAAUUCAUAAUCUAUGUACUCUAUUUGCAUAUAUUUUUCAUUAUCUAUAAUUAAUUCUGCUAUCUGUUUUCUUUUUGGAUUUUUGGGUAAUUUACAAUCUUUAGCUAUGUGUCCUAUCUUUCCACAAUUAUAACAAGUACAUUGGGAUAUCUUUCUUUUCGGUCUGUAUGGUCUUUUUAUUUUAUAGUUUUUUACAUAAUACCUUCGUCUUGGUUGUUUAUAUUUAUAUAUAGAUUUCUUUUUUCUAUAAUUUUUAUAUCUUUUAGAUUUUUGUUUUUUAGUUGUGCAUCCAAAUUGUGGUGCUAUUUUAUUUUUGCAACAUGAUAAAUUUUUAUUUAGUACUUUUUCCAUUUUUAAUUUUUCUUUUUGGUUUUCACAUAGUUGUAUGAACCAUUGAUUUAAAAAUUUUAUUCUAGAUCCUAAAGUAUCUAUUAUUCCUUCAUUAUUCCAAUCCUUUAUUACGUUUGUACUAAAUGGUUCUGGUAAUUUUGUAUAAUAUUGUUUUCUUAUUUCUUUUGCUUCGUCUAAAUUGUAUUUAGCUUUGUAAUAAUAUUCUUUAAAUGCGCAAGUAUAUUCUUCUAAGUAACACAUUUUACAUAUAGCUAAUUUUGUCAUAAGUUGUCUAUUUAUUAUUUUUUCUCUAUUUUGUUCUCUUAUAUCUGUAGUCAUGCCUCCAAAUUCAUUUCUUAUUGCUGAUUCAUAUUUAUCUAGUAUAUCUAUAUUUGUUGCUGAUGCAGAUCCAUCCAUUUUCUUAUCAUUCCUAAGUACUUCUAAACUUUCCGAGGGUAGAUUUUCUAUCCAUAAUUUUGUUGUUCCUACAAAUGUUCUUUCUAUGUAUCUUGGUGUUUUUGCUGUUUCUAUUUUAUUGUCUAUUAACUGUUUAGACAUAUUUCCUAUCCAUAUUAAUAUUGCUUUAUUUAUAUCUGCGACACAAUCUAAAUCUAAAAAAUUGUAUUGUUCAUUUGCUGGUUUAGGUGUCCAAUUUUUAUUUAAUCUACUGUUCCAUAUUGCAUUAUUUCUAUCUGAUUGUUGAUAGCUCUCUGUAUAAUAAGUUGGUGGUGUUCUCCUAGGACUAUUUCUGGGACUAUUAUCUGGGGUUUUAACUCUUGACGUACUAGGUCUAUUCAUAUCUCCUGUGUUUAUCUCUAAUUUUUUCGAUUUAUUUAUCUGUUCUAGAAUUUCUGUAUAUGUUUCACUUAUAUCACUUAUUUCUGAUUGUUGGUCAUUUUCAUUUCCAUCUAUUUCAUUCACUUCAAUAUCUUUAUUUAGAUCUUCAUUUAGUUUUUGUUCCAUUUGUUUUAUUUCAUUUGUUAAUUCUAGCUCUUUAUCUUUUUCUUUUUGUUUAUUUUCAUAUAAUAAUUUUAACCUAGCUAAUUCUUUUUCUAAUUCACUUAUUCUUGUAUUUUUUAUUUCUUCUAAAUUUUGUACUUCUUGUUUUGCUUGUGUUUUUAUUUUUUCGAUUUCUCUUGAUUUAUCUAUUUCUUCAUUUUCUUUUGUUAUUCUUACCAUAGCUGUUAAACUAUCUUCUAAUUUUGCUGUUUCUUUUUCUAGCAUUAAAUAUAAGUUAUUUCCUAUUUUCUUGUAUCUUCUUCCUAAAUUUGAAAAUACUAUUUUUAUUAUCAUUCCGUCUUGGUUUUCAUAUGUUUUUUCGUCUACUGCAAAUUCUUCUUUGUUCAUUAUGAUCUAUGUAUUAUAUUAUGUUGUAAUUCAUAUUCAAGACAAUCUAAUUCUAAUUCUAACGUUAAUAUAUCUUUUCUUUGUGCUAGUAUUGAUUUAUUACAUACUCCUGCUAAUAUGUUUUCUUCUAGUCUUCUUUUUCUAUGUUGUAAUUCUUGUUCUUUUUCAACCAUUAUUUCCAUUAUUUCUUCUAUUAAUUGUUGUUUAUAGAUUUCUUUGUUCAUACUGUUUUUUCAAAUAGCAGACAUAUUUAUAUUCUAUUUUUGAAAUUAUGUUUAUCAAUUGAUUUUUCCUAUCAUUAUCUGUUUUGACUAGUUGUGAUAGUUCAUAUUCUAUAUAUAAAGAUCUUAAUUUUUUCCAUAUUUUUCUUAUCUUUUUAUCUAUCUUAGUUCUUUUUAUUUUAGUAUUUUUAUUUUUAUUUAUCAUGGCUUUUUAUAUAAUAUUUUAAAAAGCCUACUUAAUUUAUCUGGAUAUCUAAUCUUUUUUAACCUGUAAUUCCUACCAUAUCGCUUUAGCCAAUAUUCAGUCAUAUUUAAUCUCCAAUAUCUAAAUCAUCAUAUAAAUCAUACAUAUCAUAAUAAAGCUCAUUUUGUAUACUUUGUAUGGUUAACUCAGUCCAACCUUGGGUUGUUAUUUCUAUUAUCUCAUAUGUUAAUAAUUUAUUAUAAAUUUCUCUUUUUAUAUCAAUAUUCAAAUUUUUUAGUAUAUAGAAUAAUAAUAUCUUAUAAUCAACAUCAUCGUUUAAUAGGUAGGUUUCCAUUUUUAUUAUUUUUAUUUUUCACUAAAAUUUUAUUCCUUUCAACCUCUUAAAAAAUUAUACUUGCUUAUUAUGCAAAAAUAAUGAUUUAAUAAUCAUCUAGUCUGGUCACUACUACAGUUUUCUUCUUUGAUUAGUUACCCUAACAGCGCCUCAACUUUGUUUACUCCCCUAAACGGCCUUCUCUGCCUACCGGUUUCAACCUUAGGAUGGCAUAGUCUGGCAAUACUUGUUUGAAGAAUAUUUCUGUAGCAAACUUUCUAAAGAUGGUUAUUAUAACAUUAUUCAAACAUUAUAAACAAUUAUAAUUAACAAGAGAUUUUCAGGAAUAAAUUAAUUUAGCUACUCAUAAAUAUAAAAUGGUAUACCUGUUCUUGUAGAUCAUCUGUCAUAGUUGAUUUGUUUUCCAUAGUUAUUUAAUUAACUAGCUCUGAUACCAAUGGAGGGGAUGGAAGCGUAAAGAGAAUAUUCAGAAAGAUGAGAGAUGUAAGGAUGAAGGUGUGUUUUAUUUAUGAGGAAAGCUCCUCUAUUUAUACACAAAAUUUACAAACUUUUGGCUAAAAGUGGCCGACACAUACUUUACACAUGGCCUCUCUUUAUUCGGCCGACACAAGAAAACAAAGCAGUUAAACGUACUCUGUGUAUUUCUGGUUCAGUAUGGAUCAAAUAUUUGAGAGACUUAAGUAUUUCUUGUAGUAAUUUUUCUCGCCAUGCUGAGCACAAGUUACUUAAAAAAUGGCAAUGGAAACACGAACUUGUCUAGUUCAUUAAUGAUAUCACAAAGUGGUUAUCUCAGUCUUUGUAGAGUGGAAGUUAAUAUGACAGUGAACUUACAUGUAGCAGCGAAUUAUUGAUAGGCAACAAGCUACCCCAACCAGAACGGCUUUGGCCAUAGUGAACUUGCGAUGAUUAAUUCAAAAAUUAGGACCUUUCUUAGCUCGAAUACACAUCAUACACUACGUACACUAGUCUUGAUAUUAUACUGUAAAGGGGAAUACACUAUUCAGGGCAGAAACAUAAAUUAAGGAGUUGAGUCUGCAGGGGAAAAACAAUUAUCAUUGAUUCAUUUCCUCAAGUCUGAACGGUUGUUGUAGUAUAAAUUGAUAUCACACCCAUUAUUUCAAUGUUCAUUAGCCUAAAGAUAUUACAUUAUUGUAUCCACAUGAGAAACAUUGUUCAAACUAUCAAAGAUGUAAUCGCCAAAAUUACAGUCAUGCAGAAAUUGCUAGGCUUAAUUCAUCAGAAAUCAACCUUAUAGAGCAGAUGUAUACAUAAGUUCUCCAUUGUAUAUAAAUUUCUAGCAUAGUCUAUUUCAUUGAAGAAAUUUUAUGAACAUAAAGAGAGAACAAGCUCUUAAAUUAUGUGUGUCAAAUCACAUAGCAAAACAACUAAUUCGAGCAUGCUAUAAGGAAUACCAAAACGAAGAAGCAAAUCCAGUAAACCAAAGUAAAAUCAAAGUGCAAGAGAUAUUUCCGGAUUCAUCGAAACAACCAAAUUAACAUCAGGUUUAAACAAAAGGUAUCAAUAAAAUUAGUAAAUAGAACAUUAAACAAUACAUAGACCAAGCAUAUGGUGGCGAAAAGAUACACCUCCAGUUUUUGGUAGAUCCGAGAGGAAAAACUUCAAAUAAUGAAAACCCAGAGAAUGAACAAAUGGGAAACAAGCAACAACCCAAAUUAGUAGGCAUACAGAGAAGGUGUACCUUAUUGUCAUUCUAAAUAAGUGAAGGUUUUUACCUUCUUGUUUGGAGGAGCAAAUCUAUAGGGAAUUGGAAUGAAACGUUCGUGUUCGCAUUAUGGCAAAAAAUGAAUCUGUUGUUUUCCAUGUAACAUAGAGGAAACAAACCUUUCAGGAUAACAAACGUGACUUUUAUACAUGGAACAUAAAGGGAAGUGAUAAGAGCUCUUCAGAAUAACGAAGAGGAAGAUAUAAGAUCCCAGAGAAAAAGAACGAAGAACGGGAGAAGGGGAAAUUACCGACCUACCCUUCUCUUGAAUCCAAC
rnacentral:lncRNA from 1 species